rnacentral:rRNA from 1 species
CAGCCGCCACGGGAAUACGUAGGUGGCAAGCGUUGUCCGGAAUUAUUGGGCGUAAAGGGCUCGCAGGCGGUUUCUUAAGUCUGAUGUGAAAGCCCCCGGCUCAACCAGGGAGGGUCAUUGGAAACUGGGAAACUUGAGUGCAGAAGAGGAGAGUGGAAUUCCACGUGUAGCGGUGAAAUGCGUAGAGAUGUGGAGGAACACCAGUGGCGAAGGCGACUCUCUGGUCUGUAACUGACGCUGAGGAGCGAAAGCGUGGGGAGCGAACAGGAUUAGAUACCCCCGUAGUCCCUGUCUCUUAUAC